rnacentral:lncRNA from 1 species
CCUGAAGCAGGGGUGAGCAGGCAGGGAAAAUCCUACCAGGAGCGAGGUAGGGAGGGACUCUUUGAGGAUGUGAUUUUCAAGCGGGAGAAUGAAGUGCAGGUGAGUCAGGUGAAUAUGGGGUGAGGGCAGAGGGUAGGUUGUUUGAAACUGAGGGAAAGCCGGUGCAAAAGCCCUAAGUAACUCUUUUCCAAAGGGAACGCAUCUGUUUAGUUUCCCUGGAUUUGUCCUUGCAAAGCCAGCCUCUAAGAUGUCCCUGCAAAUUCCCACCUCCUGCCAUUCCUGCCCUUCUGUGUUGCCCUCUCUCAAUGAACCAGGGCUGAUCUGUGAGACCAAGAGUCUCACCAUUAUGUAGAGAAAGCCCACCACCAUGUCAUGAGGACACUCAAGCAGUCCUGUGGAGGGAUCCACCUGGGAAGGAAAUAAAGCCUCCUGCCAAUGGCCAGCACCACGUUCCAGCUGUGUGAGCGAGUCACCUUGGAAGCAGGUCCUCCAACCCACAGAGCCUUUGGAUGACUGCAGCCCCAACCAACAGGUCAGAAGACUGCAACCCAAUGAGAGUCCUGGGCCAGGACCACCAAGCCUCUCCCAAAUUCCUGACCCACUAAUAUUGUGAGAGAACAUGGUGUUUUAUUUUAUUAUGUUUAUUAUUGUUUAUUAUUAUUGUAGGCCACCAAAGUUUGAGGUAUUUGUUAGGUGAAAAUAAAUAUCUGAUACCAUCUCCUUCUUUUGAACUCAUUGGCCUUUUCAAUAAAUGUUUGUUU